UACGGAGGGUGCGAGCGUUGUCCGGAAUCACUGGGCGUAAAGGGCGCGUAGGCGGCCUGAUAAGUAGGGGGUGAAAUCCUGCGGCUUAACCGCAGGGCUGCCUUCUAAACUGUCAGGCUCGAGCACGGUAGAGGCAGAUGGAAUUCCCGGUGUAGCGGUGGAAUGCGUAGAGAUCGGGAAGAACAUCAGUGGCGAAGGCGGUCUGCUGGGCCGUUGCUGACGCUGAGGCGCGACAGCGGUGGGGAGCAAACAGG
rnacentral:rRNA from 1 species